rnacentral:misc_RNA from 1 species
GCGCUCGAGUCCGCGCGCCUCGCCGAGGCGACGCGGCCACACG